rnacentral:rRNA from 1 species
UAUGUCGGCCAUACCAUCCUGAACGUGCCCCAUCUCGUCUGAUCUUGGAAGCUAAGCAGGGUCGGGCUUGGUUAGUUCUUGGAUGGGAGGUCCCCUUUUUUGGGUAUGGAAUAUCUUUCAAAU